rnacentral:rRNA from 1 species
GACAUAGGUGGCGAACGUUAUCCGGAAUUACUGGGCGUAAAGAGUGCGUAGGUGGUUCAAUAAGUUACUGGUGGGAAAUCGGGGCUCAACCUCGUGGAAGUCAGUAAUACUAUUAAACUAGAGGGUCGGAGAGGUUAACGGAAUUCUAUGUGUAGCGGUAAAAUGCUUAAAUAUAUAGAGGAACACCAAACGGCGAAGGCAGUUAACUAUUCGAUUCCUGACGUUGAGGCACGAAAGCGUGGGGAGUAAGACGG